AAAGUACAUUACAUUUUGAUGCAAGUUGAGUAGCUAAAGUACGAAUGCUCUAUGCGCAAUUAUUUCUUUAGCAAAGGCGCAUCUUGCAACGUCGCAAGGCAGCACGGCGCUGACAGCGCCACUUGGUUGUCUGCUUGCUAUGGUAGCGAAGUGCAGCCGUUUCGUUUGUCACCCUUUGCAAUUCGUGUUGUAGGCCCUAUUAAACAUACGCGUAGCUAACACGAAUAGCCGGAAAUUAAGCGUUACAAGCGAUGUGCCUGAGAAUCUGAUCACUCACUGUCAUCUUUAUAUUAUGGAAGCUAGCGGUGUAAUGAGCGUCACCGUGUGCUUCGAAACAGUUUCUCGGAGUUGAGCAUUACUCUCCUUGCUGUGCUUUUAAGAUCCUUAUUUAUCUGCAUCUUACAGCACUAGUGUCUUCUAUUUGUGCAUGUUGUACAUUUUUGAACUGUCUUGUUUUUGUUUUGUGUUUACUUCUUUCGUUACAGCACUGCAUAUGUUCAAAUCUCUGUGACGUUUGUAUUAAUGCGCUUCAUUUGCAAUGGCAGUAUCAUUGUGAGGCUUAAAUUUACUGUUCUCAUGCAGACUUGACUACACUUGGAAGCGCUGUUGACCGCUACUGGUGGAGACAUUGCAAGAAUGGAAAUCGGCGUGCAAGCCAAUGAGCUGUGUGACCUGCCGUUUAGCCGGAUCACACGCAAAAAGAAAGAGAAUAAUAUAUAUAUUUUUUUAUUUGUUUCGGAAUAUCCUGUGGUGCUUAAAGUACGGACACGAUCCAACCCCUCAGCACUACAAAAGAAGCACCAUGUUGAUACAGCUGGGCGACCUGUGACUGCACCGUGCCCUUACUGUUUCGCCCAUCUGAGUGUCAAAUCCCUGUCAAGACAUAAGAAGGACAUGCAUGGAAGUCAGAAGAAAGUGCACAAGUGCUCAAUGUGUGACGCAAAGUUGACACGGCUUGACAAUCUUCGGCGGCACAUGAUGCUUCGUCACCGUUACCAGAAAACACACUGACACCACUCAGAAUAUGGCUGGCAGAGACUAUUCUCACCCCAAUCAAGAAAACCUCAAUUUCAAUGUCCCUGCUUAAUGGUCAGUUAUGCCAUGCUCCUGUGCCAGUUUGAAUUGUAUGGUAACAUUUAUGCGGACAUGCAUGCAGUGAGAAAACAAAUAUUGCUGCAAGGAGACACAUUGAAAGUUCCGAGCUUUACAUCAAAGUAUAAAGCUUGAAUUGCUUUUGUUCCGCAUUUAAGUGAGAAUCUGCAGGCACAGCUUGAUUUUCACUGCCAUUUUACAGCUGUUCUUGCCUUCCUUUAUAAGAAGGGAGGGAAAUAGAGAGCAAAUCAGGGUUUCUUAUUUUUCUUAUAAUGCUAUGUCCAUGAGAUCACUACAUCCACAUGCUUGGUAGCAUCACCCUUUAUCAAAAUGAUUCUUAGGUGGUAUCAUCAAUUACAAGAACUAUAUGAAACAAAUACUUUUUUAUGCUCUCUUUAUUUUCUUGCAUUUUAUGUGGUUGGAAGCUUUCCCAGUUUGCUUGUUUUUGAUGUUAGGCAGCACCCCUUUAUUACAUUAUGCGCCAUAUUUUGCUCCCUGUGAUGUAGCUAACCUGGGUUUUUAUGUGGUGUUGUGUGAAUAACAAAAACCGUGCACUGUAAGCAAAGUGCAGUGUAGUACAUUUGUAUACAGUUAAACCUGCUUAUAACGAGCCUCCAUGUAACGAAUUCCUGGAUAUAACGAAGUUUUUCUAUUCCCCACCGUUACUCCAUAGAAGCACGUAACGAAGUGGCAGCGGGAGACCCCCUCAAAAUAACUAAUUUUCCCCACCGACAACCUAGAGAUUUCGCCCCAAAUUUUGUCAUUUUUGCGCGAGCAGCAACCGGAAGCACCUUCUCCGCCGCAACGGAAUGCGAAGUGGCGGCAGCGCGCUUGGCGCGCUCGAAUUCACGGCGACUUCCCGAUUCAAACCUGAUCCCACCGCUUGCUGCAGCUGGCCUAGCCCGCCAAGCCGGCACUCUCCUUUUCCAGUCUACCAAUUUAGUUAAACAGCGAAUGUUUACAAGUUUAUACGGCCGAUAAAACUUAGUCCUUACUUUGUAUAGCUGUCUGCUAAUUUCCUGUCGCAAUCAGUGCUUUGCCUUUCAGGGCGAAACUGGGACUUUCUUGUUCAUCGCAACUUUAGUGUAUUGGGAGUAAAUCUUGAGCUAUAGUUGUAUUUCUGUGUGAAAGCAUGAGGUGCGCGGUACUGUAAAGGAUUUUUUCCUCUCUUUUGGUCACGGAAAACGGGUGCGCGUUACAAUCGAGGGCGCGUUAGAAUCGAGUAAAUACGGCGCGCGCUUCUUUUUUGAAUUUUCGUGCCGAACCUGCAUAUAACGAAAUCCUCUUUAUAACGAAGUUUUUGGGGAAUUUGUCAAUUUCAUUAUAUCCAGGUUUAACUGUAUUAUGAUGAGCUACCUUGACCAGUGGUAAGAGAGCCUAUAUACUUGGGGUAACAUUCUGGAUAUUGUCAAAUUCCGCCGUAUUGUCAUAUUUGGUAAUGGUGGCAUUUUGAGCCAACCAGAGUGGUCGUAGCAGCCCUCUGGAGCCAAUCGGAGCUGACAAGAUGGCAAAUUUGGCAAUCUCCAGAAUAGCACUCUUGGUCUCAUCUUGUCAUUAGGAAUGACAAAUCUAUCUAGAUUCUGUUAUACAAUUUUAUGUAUAGAAAAAUCAGCUGAGUAUUUAUCUUUAGUUUAAGUGGUGUUUACAAGUGGUUUCAAUUGAAACCCAUGAAUAUUGAGAUUUUUCAAGAUCGUGAAUGCCAUAGAUUUUUUUUUUUUUUUGCAUACUCCUGAACUUCUCUUAAGUGGUAUUUCCUCCUCCAAAACAAAGUCCUUUGAAUUAAAGAAAAAAGCAGGAGAGGCCCACUGCACUACUACACAUGGUAGUAGUGCAGUGAGCCUCUUCGAUUAUCCAUUCCUGACAGUCCCGGACUGCCCGAGACCGUGCUUUCAGCCUAUGAGCGUUGUGUAUGCAGUCUUUCGGACAGUCUGUGACUGUCAGAGACGGAUAAUCGAAGAGGCCCAGUGACUGCUUCAAAGAUUUUCACUUGAUCCAAAUGACUGAAUGACUUGCAUCUGCUGAACAUGCAAGCAACAACCAAUGGAUGCCACAGUAUGUGGUGUGAUCAUAACACGCAUCAGUGCGCGUGGCUCGGUGACUUAAUUAUUACAGAAAACUCAUCUUUUUGACCAGAGGUGAAACAAAUCAGAUUAUUUUUUUACAUCACUAGAUAGAGCUCCAUUUGCAAAGCUUUGGAAGGUAGUGAAAGUACUGCUUAUCCUCAGCCAUGACCAACCAUGCAUAGUGAGAGAAAGAUCAUUGUGAACCAUUGCAUGUUUAGUAAAUCUCACAAGGACAUUUUGUACACAUUGAUGUGCAUUGUAUUUGGUAAGGUAACUAGUAUGCUCAGCAUGCACAUAACAAAGGAUCCAAGGAUUGCCCUGUCAUCUGCCAAGUGUCAUCUGCCAAUGCAACUAUACGUGCAAGUAAAGAUGAAGGGGCAGCAUGAAGAUAUAGACAGUCAGAAAAAUGCUGCAUUAGCUGGACAUCAAAAAACAAAAGUAGCGUGUUGAAUUGGGCUGGUUGGUACGUUUCGGAACUUGAAGGUAACAAUGCCAAACAGGAAAACAUGAAACUGGAAUUAAAUGGUCGCAGGUGCGAUGCUUAAGUGGAAGUAUCUUGAUGAUAAUGCACAAUGUCAAAUUACAGAAAGCAAGAGUAAAUUGUUUCCAAGUGUCAACCAGGAAGUAAAAGAAAAUUAUAAUUGGCACCUUAAACCUAAUGCAAGUUAUGGCGACUUCUGUUUACACUGUAGAUAAAUGAUACCAAUAAGCAUCGGUAAUUUAGUUUUCACUAUGUAUAAAAAUUGCUACCUGCAAGACUGUCCUGGAUCUUUAAAAAAAAUCUUACCCCAGAUAUACCACAUUUUUGUGCCUGUUACCUGUACAAAAAUGAAAGAAGUUUGAAUACAAAAUUUGGGUGUGGGCUAAAUGUGAACGUUGCCUUAUGGUACAGUUUCACGGGAUUGAAGUCACUGCUGCAAAGCUUGUGGUGCUGCACCAUACUUCGGCAGAGACCAUCAGUGAGAGACCAUUGACUGAACAUACAAAAUCGUUUCUAGAGCUCUACUCUGUGCCGAUAAUUGUGUGAGGCUGUUAGUAUAUAAAUUGCAGUAUGCAGUUCUUGCAAACGGUGAUAGGCGUUUUCUUCUUUUUUUUUUAAGAUAGUAAGGUGCUGUUGAGAUGUCAGGUUAUACAUGUGAAAAUGAGGUACUUUAUUUAUUUCUCAGAAACCUGUGUAGGUCUUGUGCGCUAUAUAUAUUAAUGAACUGGGUAAUUACAGCAUUCUGCACUGGCUGUAACAAGUUCAUUGUCAACUGCCAUAAUGCACUGCAUGUACAAAAUACUUUUGACUCUUAGCACCGUACUCUUCGUCAUACUUAUAUUGAAGCACCUUGUCUUUACCAUUAAACAUCACUGUUGAGUGGCUCCUUUUAAAUAAAAAUGAGAUACCAGAGCCAUUAUAACACUAUUUUCUCUUCAUACAAAGUGAACUGAUGGAGUGCAACCAUUUAACUUUAGGAUUAUGGUCCAACAAAUUAACAAAGUUUAUAUCGCAAUAACCCCUUGCGAUCAUGUGCAUUGACCCACUUUGCAGUCAUUCCGGCCAUAAACUAUUUCGUGUAUCUGUGGAAGCCAUAGAGAAACAGCACUCUUCUGAACAAAUGCAUAGUAAUAAUUUAUUUCAGAAAAUUUCCUUGAUUUCUAAUGCAUUUGUACAGUGUAGUCUCCAGCUAGCAUCACAUUGUGGGUUAUCACCACAGGAAACAUUUUCUCUAGGGUCCUCAUCGUCACUUUAUUUUUUAGUGCUCUCAUCCAAGGAUGUUUGCUGGUCAUCUGAAAGCCGAAUAUAUUCCUCCUCGGCACUAAAAGAAUCUUCAGAUUUGCUAAGCUUAUGCGAGUUCUCUUCAUAAAACAUACAUAGAAAAAGCUGUCCAUCCUCACAGUGCUUCGCAAAAAACAAAAUUGUCCGAAUUCCGUCAAGUAUGCUGCUAAACAAGUCCUGCCCCCAUGCAUGGAUGAUGGAAACUGCAAUUGUCAAUAGUUGAAAGAGUUCCCCAAAAGGUCCCACAGCAAAUACAAAGAAAAAAACACCUGUGCAUGCAAGCAGUUGCACAUCCGGCACCUCCCGACAUCUGACCGGAACUGAUAUUUUAUCACAUUGGGAAGGCCCCAACACAUGACCGCAAAGGGUUAAAUGUUCCCACUGUAGUCAUAAGCACACAAUAUAGAUAUAUCCACAAGCUUUGCCCAUUUGCCUCACAAACCAUUGUUCAAUGAAGCCUAUACUUCUUUUACUAGAUGCUUGGUGUUUUGCUUUCAUAUUGCAGCCAUGCUGUAAUGAGGUGCUUGCAGGCACUGAGAGGUAGUGCUUGCUGUAGUUUUUCAUUCACGCCAGUUGUGAGUUGGAGAAUUCAAACACGCUCAUUUCCCACAACCAUGGGAGUUCUGUCGAUUGUCACCUCACCUGUGGGCAAAAACAGAAACUGCAAACCACCAAAUCCAUACAACUUCUCUAUACUUAACCAGGCACUGCUAAGUAAAAAAAAAUAUAAAAUAAUUUAGAAAUGCACAGUAAUCAAAACAAACGAUUCUAUUUAUCACUUUUUCAGUUAAGGCUGCUAUUUCAAGUAAUCUUAGGUGACGAGCAGCCACAAUGCUGUUUUCUCUGUUACUAACAGUUCGAAGUAGUGUUUUGCAACUGACAUUGUUAAAGAAUCUUGUUGCGUGCAGCUGACAUUGUCUCAGGAUUCAGCAUUCUGUCCAAGGCCUUGGUGCAGACAUUUUAUUAUUUAUUUAAAAUGCCUAACAGAGCCCAAGUGAGACAUAGAGUAAAAGAAGCAAUUCACUGCCAGGAUCAUUUCCUUGUCAGAAAAUUUAAAUACUUGUUCUAUGAUACAAGUCAACUUUGGUUAAGUACUACAUAUUCGGGAAAACCAGCUUCUGAGCACAGGUACCCACAGCCAUCCCUAUUGAGAAAAAUCUUCUCAGCUUAUGUAGCAGGCAUCUAGCAAAAUAGGCACAUGUAAAACAAUUAUCUAUAUAAUUGGUCACUUUAUUGUGUUCAAUGUGCAUUUACUAUGGAAGCUAAAAAAUUAAUUUACACAUGCAUUAGUUGGGGCUAGAGAGAGAUCAGAGCAAAGGAGCUUAAUUGUAGGGCCAGAGCCAGGCAAUUGGUCAGAGUGACACUCCAGCCCCGAUGGAGCGUCGAAUGUGACCCUCAAAAAUGCUAAAAGUGCGAACAGGCAUUAGCAUUGAAAAAGGCAUCGCUGCAAAAUAGUGACUCAGGUCUCUUAACCAGCCCAGUUGCAAGGGUAGCCAGUGUUGUGUCUCCAUUGUCAAACAGUAUCCUAGCAAUUGUUUCCUCCUUCCAGCUCGACCUUCUUCCUCAGCUUUAAAAUGUUUCCACCAUGCCACAUGUAUUGAAUGUAUAACAGUACAAGACAGCAUAUUAAGUUCACCUUUCCUUUGGUAAGCAAGACUUUUUGGCACACUGUUUGUCAAGAUUAGUGUCCUAUCAUUGUCCUCAGAUCAGCAAUAGCACUGUGUGACUGCUCUACAUAAGCAAAAGAUAGGUCAUAUACAAUGUAUAAAAGAUGCACUUUGCUGAUAUUAGGAGUAAUAAUUUAAAUAUUGUUAAUCACGUCAUUGCGACAACACCUGAUGGACUCGCCAUGGCAAAGAUUUAUUAUGAAAAAUACUUUCAAAUGCAGCCAAUGUAAUGGACACCAAACAAAGAUUGACAUGACUUACAAAUUUACAUAUGGUGAACAUAGAAUCGGAUAUAUACAACAUGCUCUGUAUAUGUGGUGAAAGCCUGCCAUUGUACAAACCACCAUAACUGUGCAGUUUUGUACAAUAACAUUGUUUAUUAAAUGGCUUAUAUCA